UAACGAAUCUUCCGCAAUGCGCGAAAGCGUGACGGAGCAAUGCCGCGUGCAGGAUGAAGCUCUUCGGAGUGUAAACUGCUGUCAGGGUUUAGCAACACAAUGAGCAGACCCAAAGGAAGGGCCGGCUAACUUCGUGCCAGCAGCCGCGGUAAUACGAAGGGCCCGAGCGUUGCGCGGAAUCACUGGGCUUAAAGCGUACGCAGGCGGGCGCGCAGGCGUCUUGUGAAAGCCCUCGGCUCAACCGAGGAAUUGCUCGACGAACCGCGUGCCUUGAGGCAGGUAGGGGUUGUCGGAACGAUAGGUGGAGUGGUGAAAUGCGUUGAUAUCUAUCGGAACGCCAAAGGAGAAAUCAGGCAACUGGGCCUGUCCUGACGCUGAGGUACGAAAGCGUGGGGAGCGAACGGGAUUAGAUACCCCCGUAGUCC
rnacentral:rRNA from 1 species